rnacentral:rRNA from 1 species
CGUACACUCCUGCGGGAGGCAGCAGUGGGGAAUAUUGGACAAUGGGCGCAAGCCUGAUCCAGCCAUGCCGCGUGAGUGAUGAAGGCCCUAGGGUUGUAAAGCUCUUUCACCGGUGAAGAUAAUGACGGUAACCGGAGAAGAAGCCCCGGCUAACUUCGUGCCAGCAGCCGCGGUAAUACGAAGGGGGCUAGCGUUGUUCGGAUUUACUGGGCGUAAAGCGCACGUAGGCGGACUAUUAAGUCAGGGGUGAAAUCCCGGGGCUCAACCCCGGAACUGCCUUUGAUACUGGUAGUCUUGAGUUCGAGAGAGGUGAGUGGAAUUCCGAGUGUAGAGGUGAAAUUCGUAGAUAUUCGGAGGAACACCAGUGGCGAAGGCGGCUCACUGGCUCGAUACUGACGCUGAGGUGCGAAAGCGUGGGGAGCAAACAGGAUUAGAUACCCUUGUAGUCCCAU